UCUGGGGUGCCAUCUGGCUGAGAUAAUACCCAUUGAACCUGACCUGGUUAACACCAGCGGAGGAAGAAUC
rnacentral:ncRNA from 2 species